UACGAAGGGGGCUAGCGUUGCUCGGAAUCACUGGGCGUAAAGCGCACGUAGGCGGAUUGUUAAGUCAGGGGUGAAAUCCUGGAGCUCAACUCCAGAACUGCCUUUGAUACUGGCGAUCUUGAGUCCGGGAGAGGUGAGUGGAACUGCGAGUGUAGAGGUGAAAUUCGUAGAUAUUGGGAAGAACACCCGUGGCGAAGGCGGCUACUCUGGGACGGUACUGACGCUGAGACGCGAAAGCGUGGGGAGCGAACAGG
rnacentral:rRNA from 1 species